rnacentral:rRNA from 1 species
UGCCAGCAGCCGCGGUAAUACGGAGGGGGUUAGCGUUGUUCGGAAUUAUUGGGCGUAAAGAGCUCGUAGGUGGCUCGGUAAGUCUGACGUGAAAUUUCAGGGCUCAACCCUGAAAAGCCGUUGGAUACUGCCGUAGCUAGAGUCCGGUAGAGGAGCGUGGAAUUUCCAGUGUAGCGGUGAAAUGCGCAGAUAUUGGAAGGAACACCAGCAGCGAAGGCGGCGCUCUGGGCCGGUACUGACACUGAGGAGCGAAAGCAUGGGGAGCAAACAGGAUUAGAUA